UGUGCUUCCAAACUCCUAGCAGUUGCCUCUGAGAAGAUUUAGGUGGUAGUGGUGGAAAUAGUAAUGCUUAUUUAUAAAGACAGACAGAGACUGGAGAUUGAUGGAUGAAGCCACAGAUUUCCAGCCAGUGAUCAGCAGGCUGUUUGUAAGACAAUUUAUCAGGUGUAUGUAAAGUGACCUUCCUUGCCAGGGACAGCUUGGGAAUUAACUGCCAGCCAGAUCAGCCUUCCUUUUGCACUGUAUAUCAAACAGGAAUUAAAUACCUAGGUGUCUGUGGGGACUGCUCAGUGCUUGCAGAGACCUUUGGGAGACAGAUGGUUCUGUGUGGAAAUCAUCAUGACAGAGAAUGGUGUGUGCGAGAACAGCCAGAGGAGAGCAGAGAAGAAUGUACUAGCAGAAGGAAUGAGUGCUGGUGGCGGCAAGGCCAUACCUCAGUGGAGAAGCUUAGAAAAUUCAGAGCAAGAGAACAUGUGAAUUGCUCUCUAAGCAAAAUAAACAGACUUCAGGAAGAAAGCUGGGAAAAAGAUGAUGUUUGAGAAUAUGGGACAACAUACCCAGAGGGAUUCAAGGCUCCAAGAGAGAAAUAAAACCUUCCUGUGACCCACCAAACCACAGAACAUACAGAGGCGGUUUUGCUCUAUCGCCCUGUUGUA